rnacentral:lncRNA from 1 species
GGACACAAUGUCUGUAAAUUGUGUCUUUUUAGUACAUGUUGAUAGGACACAGUGUCUGUAAAUUGUGUCUUUUUAGUAUAUUUUGUUUUGUAUCAAGUAGAUACGUUGAUAGGACACAGUGUCUGUAAAUUGUGUCUUUUUAGGAUAAUUUAGUUUGUAUCAAGUAGAUACAUUGUUAGGACACAGUGUCUGUAAAUUGUGUCUUUUUAGGAUAAUUCAGUUUGUAUCAAGUCGAUAUGUUGAUAGGACACAGUGUCUGUAAAUUGUGUCUUUUUAGUAUACGUUGAUAGGACACAGUGUCUGUAAAUUGUGUUUUUUUAGUAUACGUUGAUAGG